rnacentral:lncRNA from 10 species
GCUCGACCUUCCCGCGUGGGCCCCGGUUCCUGAGGCGCUGGCUCCCGGGUGCCCCCCUCCGGGAGCUGGCGGUGGGAACCUUCGAUGGGCCCCCAACCUCGAAGUCUCCGCCACCUUUCCCGAGUGGGGGGCGCAGGAUGCCCGACCCAAAGCCAACCCCCCACCGCCGCUCGAAUCGCCAAUGUGACCUCUGCUGUGACCUCUGUCCCAGUUCAACGAUCACCCAACCUCCCUUAACAAAAAAAAAGUGUUUCCUCAUCACCAAAAAUACCAGCGUUGUCCCACUUUAGCCCUUGAGGCCACAAAUGCAGGAAUAGCUACACUCUUGAAGCAACUGUAACCAAGUUGGUAACAACGCAGGGGAAUUCUUCGGUAAAAUUCCUUCCUCUUACAAAAUCCAGCUCACCCUGCACAGUCAACCUAAUUGUCACCGAAUAUAGGAGAAUGGGGAAACUAGGAUUUGCGUGUUCAAGGGCGGACAAGCCAGUCCAAACAGGCAUUCCAGUCAUUGGGUGGGUGACAGCCAAAGAAGAUCCACCUGGUCACAUCCCAAUUUCCCCAGGGCAUCCGAAGCAGGUCUGAGCAGCCAAGGAUAACUACUUAGUCUCCUGCUAGAAAAUAUCUCAGGUAGGUUGUAUAAGGGAAGCUAAGUAAGCUUUCAGUCAACGACUUUCUGUUCAGUCUGCCCACAUUGUUCUUUUUAAUGUAGCCAUUCAAGCUGUGAUGCAAAACAUAAAAAUUGCCCUUAUUACUUUGCAUAUGUUCUAGGAUAUGGUUGAAACAUUUUUAGAUUAUUAUUAAUUAUCCUUUGAAUAAUCCAAAACAUCUUCAGGCUGGAGUGCAGUGGCGCUAUCAUAGGUCACUGCAGCCUCAACUUCUUGGGCUCAAGUGAUCCUCCUG